AACGUUCAGGCGUCAAGCCCGGAAGUAGCAUUAGCGAAGGAACGCACU
rnacentral:ncRNA from 10 species